CAUACAGCUAUUUCAAUUAAGGUUGUCCACGAGCAAAGCGGAAAAGUCGAAUACGAGCGCGAAAGGCUGCUGGGAAUCGCUAACAAAUUAAUGAAUUUUCGUAUUCGACUUUUCCGCUUUGCUCGUAGACAACCUUAA
rnacentral:miRNA from 1 species